rnacentral:rRNA from 1 species
AGUGAACGCUGGCGGUAGGCCUAACACAUGCAAGUCGAACGGCAGCACAGUAAGAGCUUGCUCUUACGGGUGGCGAGUGGCGGACGGGUGAGGAAUACAUCGGAAUCUACUUUUUCGUGGGGGAUAACGUAGGGAAACUUACGCUAAUACCGCAUACGACCUACGGGUGAAAGCAGGGGAUCUUCGGACCUUGCGCGAUUGAAUGAGCCGAUGUCGGAUUAGCUAGUUGGCGGGGUAAAGGCCCACCAAGGCGACGAUCCGUAGCGGGUCUGAGAGGAUGAUCAGCUACACUGGAACUGAGACACGGUCCAGACUCCUACGGGAGGAAGCAGUGGGGAAUAUUGGACAAUGGGCGCAAGCCUGAUCCAGCCAUACCGCGUGGGUGAAGAAGGCCUUCGGGUUGUAAAGCCCUUUUGUUGGGAAAGAAAAGCAGCAGGUUAAUACCCCGCUGUUCUGACGGUACCCAAAGAAUAAGCACCGGCUAACUUCGUG